rnacentral:sRNA from 1 species
AUGGAGUUCUCUUGGCAGGAAUCCAUGCAUGGGUCUUGAAAAGCAUGGAAUUUGGAGUAAGGAGCUUCAACCCUUCCUCCAAAUUCAUCAGUUUUCUAUGCUUAGCCAAUUCACUCUGUUAAUCUCUUUUUAAGUGACGUUUACAUACUAAAACGUCGCUAAAUUAGCGGAGCUAGCUUUUGGCUAAGUCAUAGUAGACCGGCAAGUCACAGUUCGGCAAUGGGGACUCAGAUAUGAGUCUU